CCUAAAUUCUAAGCCCCCCUAUAACACAGCCCUGCUCAGGGCAGGCCUGGGGGCGGAGCCUGGAUCACUAGAGGCUGUAGCUGAAGGCUUGCUAGGAUGGGGCCGGCUGGAGGCCGCAGGUCACUGUUGGCUCUACCUCACCUCCUCCCACCCGAGCGGCUGGCACUAAGCCCGGCCCAAGGCGCCCCCAGUCUGGGGACCAGUGCUGCUGCUGCUGUGUGAUAGCCAGCCCUCACCCAGUGUGGAGUGCAGACUCACAGGAAGUGCCUGGAACUGUUUGUCGAAUGAACAAAUUCAAUGUAUGAAAAGGUAAGCAUGUAGCUUGCUGCCUUCUGUCUUCUGCCUGCCAUGAACUAGUUCCCCUCUGCCACGCUGUCCCGCCCUGGAGUCUGCCAACGGUGAGCUGAAACUUCUACAAACCGAAAAUAUGAUAAACAUUUGCUUUAAAAAAAAAAAAAAAGGCGGACAUCUUCAGCAUUCCAGGAUAUUGCACACUUAGACCACGGUGGGGCUCUGCUGCACACCUGUCAGAGCGGCCUACAUUAAAAAGGCUGCCUGUGUUGAUCUUGGUAAGAUGGGGAGAAGCUGGAGAUGUGACACUGCAGGACCACUCUGGAAGCAGUUUGGGAUAAGACCCCCACCACAUGCCACUGUUCCGUAACAUAAGAAAGUCCUUCCACUCGUUUUAUGAGUUACUACAAAACUGCAAGAAAAUUAUUAGCCAACUCUACCUGUAAACUCACCCUAUUAGCAAGACAAAUGUGACUGCAUCUGUAUCCUGAGCUUGGAGCAAUUCGCCCUAGGAAUUCAAGGAUGGCUAAAGGCAAAAGUGUUCAUUCAACUUAUUUUAUUAAAAGGUAAAAGGAGAAAAAGCCCUGCAAACACAUCAGUAGAUACCAUAAAGCAAAGCAACCACGUCGGAUAAAGUUCAAUCCUCAUGCUUGGUAAACUCACUCAGAAAACUCGGAAGAGAAUUCUUGAUCUGAGAAAAGACACCAGGUGGCACCAAGCAGGCAGCAUCACUUUUCACAGGGAUGCUCUGAAAGCAUUGUGAGGCCCGAGGCGAACUCGCCUUCCAGCAGCACUGCUGGUUGGCUCUUCUUGGCCUUGGACCCAGCGGGGCUGGCCGGCAGACAGAAUUGUGUGUUUGCCAACACGUGUUCAUCUAUACAGGAGAACCUGCUCUCCAGAAGCUGGGACAGCUUAACCAAAAUGCUGGCUGCAUCAAGCAGUUGUAGCGUUCCUCUGGACCGUGCUGUUGGUUAGAAUGGUGAGGGAGCCAUGGCAGCUACUGGGCGCUUCAAACAAAAUCUGACAAAAUUGCGCAGUGCCUGGGUGGAGGGAAGGCAGGCACCUAGCGGGCUGACCCUAGCAGACCUAAGCUGACUGCCGGCUGGUCUGCCGCCUCCUGGCUAGCACGCGUUAGGUGGGUCGCCCAUGCCUCAGUUUCUUCAUUUGUGGAAGGACGAUAGUAGUAGUAACUUUCUUUCGGCGAGUUGGGAAGAUGAAUGGAAUUAUACAUAAAGUGUUCAGGUCAGCAGCUGGUGUGUGAUUAGCUCUACAUACAUCGUGGCUCUUUCUACGGUGAGCAUCACAGAAUUGAAGGGCAUGAAAGAGCUGAAAAAACAGAGUUGGGUGGAGAUGUGUCGGUAUCAGGGAGAUGUCAGUGUGCCCUGGUUCUUAUCAGUUCAUUGUAAAUUCUUUUUUUAAAAUUUUAUUGAAAGAGAAAAAACAAAACAAAACAGAAAAAGGGUACACGUAAUACAGAAUUUCAAAAAAAUAAACAGUAAGAAAUCACUAGUUAAUAGAUUACAUAUUAUCAUCUUAGAAAUAGCUGUUCAAGUUACAAAAUUAAAGCAUACAAAGUGGACAUUCAAACAGUGAGACUGCAAACAGUUCUGUUCAAUGAUCCAACGAAAACUUAGUAAUAUGGUCAUCUAUCUUACACACUUAAAUAUAAGUUCAUUGUAAAUUCUAUGAAAACCCAAUAGGGUUUUGUUUGAAACCCAACAGUCUUUCUAUGCAGUUCAAACCGGACUUGAGCUUCCCCUGUAGCCCAGGCUGGCCUCAAACUCGAAGCAAUCCUCCUGCCUCAGCCUCCAGAGUGCUGGGAUUACAGGUGUGCACCACUCCGUCCGGCUAAAUGUACCUUUCUUUGUGACAGUGUAAUACUGGAUUAUGUAUAAAUACCACAUUUCCCUCAUCCAUGCAUCUGCCAAUGGACAUGUGUGCUGUUUCUAAGAUGUAACUAUGAUAAACUGUGCUGUAACAUUAGCCCCUUCUAUAGGGGAAGAGUGUCAUAAACAAUAGUAACCGAAGGGCGAAGGAUUAGAAGACACUCAUAGGACACAUCUGAAAACGGAGCAUAGAUGGUGCCAAGAUAUAAAAGGCUCCAGGAAGCCAGUAAGAAGAAAGGCAGUGAGCCACCCAAUGGACACAUGGGCCAAGGCAAAGGACAGGAAAUUCAAAACAGAGGUCAUGAAAGCAGCGGCGGAAAGUUUCAUAGCCAUGCCAGUAAACAGGAACUGCAAAUUAAAUAAUCAGCAUGGUAUCAGCCAAGGGCCAACUUCACAUGAAAUUAGUUCUACUGUGUCCCCUGCGGGAGACCGCGCGUGGUCCCCUGCGGGAGGAGUGUAGAGGGCUCCUCCAUUUGGCAGCAAGGCGACGUUAAACACCCACUGCAGUAGCACGCAGGCCCCAGCACGCCCCAGCGGUCUCCGUUCCAGGUUCUUGGUGUCCUCAACAAAAGAAAUGGACAAGACACGUGAAGAAGAGUAGUGGGAUUUUACAUUUAUUUAUUUUUAGUACUGGGGAUCAAACUUACGACCUCGGACCUGCCAGGCAAACGCUUAUGCCACUGAGCUGACCCCCCGACCCAGGCUUUACCUAUAUUAAGGCAGACAAUGCGUGCGCCAAGCGCAGAAGCCAGGAGUGACCAGGAGGUUACAGCAGGGUCCCCCGUAUCUCUCAUUCUUCAGCCUGCCGUCAGGUCUAGGCCGACCUAUCAAAAACCGAUUUGGGGCCAAAGCGCAGAAAGCCCCUUCUGAUUGGAUCCUCCUGACUCGGCCCCGGUCUCCCUACCGGACAGGCCACGCCCCCGUGUCCAGCCGACUUGCCCCGCCCUCAUUGCCUCCCUCUGAACCUCCGGGUUCGGGGAACCGUCUGACACUGAGCGGUGACAGGUAACCGAAAUAGCCACGGAAGGGUGCAGCCAGGCCGGGAGAGGCAGUUAAUCGGGGCUCAGCCGGUCGCUGGGACGCGGUUACUGUGCUCCAUCGCCGACUCCCGGGGUGCAGCUUCCCCUGUGGCUGAGUCCUGCCGCCUCUGCCUGGGCAUCGCUGGCCCCGGCGAGCGGGGAAGGGGCGCAGAUGGGCUCCGGCGAGGGGCCUCACGGACGGACGCUGUGUUCCAGCGUCCAGAUGAGCGCAAACGCGAGGGCGAGCUGAAACAAUAACGGGGUGGAGCGGCUCAGCGCGGGCCAUCAGUGUGAUAAUGUUUCUGUGAAGUUUAAAACUGCACGAAAUGGAAUAAGGCGCGCAUAGGUGUGAAAGAACAGAAGGCAGCCGGGGACAGGGUUUGCCCCUGAUGAAGAAGGGAGGCGUAGGUAGGGGAUGGCCUCCUCCCUGUCCUCGGUCCGUCCCCCCCCCCUUUACUUCUUAAAUGAAAAGAGAACACAUGAGCGCCGGGAAGGCGGGGUUCCAGGAACGCAGGCCUCGCUUUUCCCGCACUGUGUCAGGCAGGUAAACACAAUGUGAACUGCACCUGGGGAGGCCAGUGACACAUUCCAAAGGGAAGGCGCUGGCUGGGGCUCAGCCUGUCAGGAGCUCCCCAGACACCUUCAGUCAGGAGGCACGCUGGUGCGGCCUGGCCGGGCUGUGUUGGUGGCACCGGGACUGUCGUUCUGUUGGAGGAGAAGAGCUGCCUCGGUGGCUCUGAUCCAGCCAGCCACCCCAGGAGGCUACAGCAGGUGGGCUAGAAGCCCGGCCAGACGUGUGGACCCUGACAGCGGGCUGCUGCAGGGCAGCUGCGGGAGUUCCAUCCCGGUUCUACAGGGACUCUGGUAAAUGUCAUCGCUGCGGCAGGCGAGCUCGGGGUUUGGGGACAGUGACUCAGCGCCGUUUUCAUUUAUAACGAAACAGAACUGGUGUGGCCUUCUUUAUUACACAAAGCACUGCGGCCUUCCUGGAGGAGGACUGCCCCGCACUUUGCCCUGGCCAUGUGGCCGAGUGCCCCGGGGCCCCUCAGUGUCCCUUGGAGCUCGAGUGUGGGCUUCUGUGAUGUCUCAGGGCAAGCUCAUGCCCUGCUGUCUCCUUUACCUCUGCAUGUGCCCAGCAGGGGACAAAUGUGUGGUCUGGCCCCUUCAGCCUGGGUCCUGGGGCAGAGAUGACAGGGUCAGGGCUGUGUCCCCCCGGCUGGCACAUGGUUUGGCAAGGGGCUGGGAAGCUGCAGUGUGGCUGCUGCACGGUCACCCGGACUCCUCCUCUGUCCUGGGACAGGCUGAGCCCCCACCUGUUGAAGAAGGGGGAGGGUCAGGAUCGAGGGCUCCUGCAGUUGACAAACAGCUCCUCGAAGGUCACAGUCACCUGCACAGAAUCCUCUCUCUUCACCCUAGCAGGGUCUUUGUUCUUUGCAGUCAUUCAGGGUCUUGGCAGGUGUCAUUCUUCAUCUUAUUUAUUUCUUUAUUAUCUUAUUUUACUUUUUUCAGACUAGGUCUUGCUAUGCAGUGCAGGCUGGCCUUGAGCUCACUUUGUAGCCCAGGCUGGCCUCAAACUCAGCAAUCCUCCUGCCUCAGCCUCCCAAGUGCUGGAAUUACAGAUGUGCACCCCCAUACCUGGCCUAAUUUUAUCAGCACACGUUUGCAGUAUACAGUGAUCCCAGUGCUUGUGGGGAGUUGGUCUGUGCACACAACACAUCUUCAUCCUUUUUAAAAAUCUUGUUCUCUUCUCCCCUUCCCUUGAGCUCUUGGGUCUGUUCCCAUUUCAAAAAAGAUUUAUCUCCCUGCUGCCUCUUGUCUGCCUGUUACCUUGCUCUUUGUUUAUACUCUGGGUUUCUCACGUAAGAGGAACCAUUUGAUACUUAAGCUUGAGUGUCUGAUUUAGUUCCCUUGACAGGACUGUCUUGAGCUGCAUCCUUUUCCUACCAAUGGCUCAAGCGUGUCCUUCUUUAUGACACAGUAGUACUCCACAGUGUGUGAACACCACAUCCUCUUUAAGCGUCCCUCUGGGGAUGGACAAACAGGGCACUUCCACAGCUUAGCUCUCAGGAAGUCGCUCCAUCUGCAUGGGUGCUCUUCUAAGACCCCAAGGAAGAAGAAAA